rnacentral:rRNA from 1 species
CGUGUAGGCUGAAUGCCAGGUGUCGGGUGAAAGCCCUCGGCUCAACCGAGGAAUGGCCCGGCAAACCGGCAUUCUUGAGGCAGGUAGAGGUGGCUGGAACGACUGGUGGAGCGGUGAAAUGCGUAGAUAUCAGUUGGAACGCCAGAGGCGAAAGCGAGUCACUGGACCUGUCCUGACGCUGAGACGCGAAAGCGUGGGUAGCGAACAGGAUUAGAUACCCUGGUAGUCC